AUAACUCGGGAAACUGAGAACAAUACAUCAUAGUCCACUACGCCUGGAACGGUGAGUGGAUGAAGGUAGGAUGGGCCUGCGGCGUAUCAGGUUGUAGGGGGUGUAAUGGACCUCCUAGCCAUCGACGCGUACGGGUGUUGGGAGACAUAGCCCGGAGAUGGAUUCUGAGACACGAAUCCAGGCCCUACGGGGCGCAGCAGUUACGAAAACUUGGCAAUGCGGGAAACCGUGACCAGGGAACUCCAAGUGAGUCUCUUUUAGGGGCUCUUUUCUUGACUCUAAAACGGUCUUGGAAUAAGGGGUGGGUAAGGACGGUGCCAGCCGCCGCGGUAAUACCGGCGCCUCAAGUGGUCGUCGCUUUUAUUGGGCCUAAAACGUCCGUAGCCGGUUUGGUACAUUCGUGGGUAAAUCAGCUCGCUCAACGAGUUGAAUUCUGCGAGGACGGCCAGACUAUGGACCGGGAGAGGUGUGGGGAACUCUCAGGGUAGGGGUAAAAUCCUGUCAUCCUGAGAGGACCACCUGUUGCGAAGGCGCGACACUAGAACG
rnacentral:rRNA from 1 species